AGCCACGCAAUGAGCACAAAGCUAACUAUUCUUUCGCCUUUUACUAAAGAAUACCGUGUGCGCGCUGUAAUUAGUGGCAUACGCCAAUUUUCGUGUGCGCGCUGUAAUUAGUGGC